rnacentral:rRNA from 1 species
UGGGGAAUUUUGGACAAUGGGCGAAAGCCUGAUCCAGCAAUGCCGCGUGUGUGAAGAAGGCCUUCGGGUUGUAAAGCACUUUUGUCCGGAAAGAAAUCCUUGGCUCUAAUACAGUCGGGGGAUGACGGUACCGGAAGAAUAAGCACCGGCUAACUACGUGCCAGCAGCCGCGGUAAUACGUAGGGUGCAAGCGUUAAUCGGAAUUACUGGGCGUAAAGCGUGCGCAGGCGGUUUGCUAAGACCGAUGUGAAAUCCCCGGGCUCAACCUGGGAACUGCAUUGGUGACUGGCAGGCUAGAGUAUGGCAGAGGGGGGUAGAAUUCCACGUGUAGCAGUGAAAUGCGUAGAGAUGUGGAGGAAUACCGAUGGCGAAGGCAGCCCCCUGGGCCAAUACUGACGCUCAUGCACGAAAGCGUGGGGAGCAAACAGGAUUAGAUACCCUGGUNGUCCACGCCCUAAACGAUGUCAACUAGUUGUUGGGGAUUCAUUUCCUUAGUAACGUAGCUAACGCGU